AUUGAUUUGUCCCAGCAGUAUAACUGGCCUGCGAGCAUUACGUUUACCUCUUUAAACAUCCUUUCAGUUGUUGCGAUUUUAUCCUCUGUUGGGAAAGAGAUGAAAGGGCUCGGAGAAGCCAAAAUCGCAAGUGUGGCAAGCGGUCUUAUUUUUUGGCGUGAUCUCAUUUGUUUAUAAUGAAACGUUGGUGGAGCUGGCGGGCUCCCUUUCUCAGUUUGAAAUACCGCUGUUUGCCGUUCUGGAGGGUGCGCCUUAUUUCCUUUUUUUAUGUAUGACGGCGGUGCUGUGCCUGGCGAUUUACACGACGACGGUAGCUGGUUUGCUGGGGCUGUCCAGCCGGCUGAUGGCGUUUAUUCAUAUGCCGAGAUGGAUGAUUGUGUUGAUUUUGUUAGUGUUAAUGGUACCUUUUACUUCUUUUGGAUUUUCUGAUUUGAUCGCGUUCUUGUAUCCGAUAUAUGGGAUGCUCAAUUUGUAUUUGUUAGUUUGUCUGCUCUUAUAUCCUAUUUUGAGUAAAUGGAAAUAAGAGGAUGGAUUUCUUUUCGGGUAUCUUGAUUGCUCUUAUGAUCAGUUUUUUUGUACAAUAGAUACAGCAGUUUAGGAAAAGAGGUGAAGGGUCUUGGCGGAUAAAGACUUUGGCCUGAAUGAUAUCGUAGAAAUGAAAAAACCGCAUCCAUGCGGAGCGAACAGUUGGAAAAUUAUACGCAUGGGAAUGGAUAUUCGAAUUAAGUGUGAGGGAUGCUCUCACAGUGUUAUGAUUCCGAGAAGAGAAUUUGAAAGAAAACUAAAAAAAAGUACUAGUCAAGCAUGAGGAGCCUACUUCAUAAAUAGGCCGACACUCAUGCUUUUUCAUAUAGAAGGUAAGGAGAAGACGGCGAUGAGCAAAGUGCAUCAGUCGGCAUGUCCGCUAAAUUGUUGGGACAGCUGCGGCUUUUUGGUGACUGUUGAUGAUGGAAAGGUAACAAAAGUGGACGGAGAUCCAAACCAUCCGAUUACGGAAGGUAAAAUCUGCGGCCGCGGCAGAAUGCUUGAGACAAAAACAAAUUCGCCUGAUCGGCUUCGCUAUCCAAUGAAAAAACAAAAUGGCGAGUUUGUGCGGAUUUCUUGGGAGCGGGCACUUGAUGAAAUUGCCGAUAAACUUCGGGAAAUCAAGGAAACGUCGGAGACGACUGCUGUUUUGCACAGCCAUGAUUAUGCGAAUAACGGUCUGUUAAAAGCGCUUGAUCAGCGUUUUUUUAAUGGAUAUGGAGGCGUGACUGAAAUCGUCGGAAGCAUAUGCUGGGGCUCCGGCAUCGAGGCGCAAAGCUGGGAUUUUGGCCGUUCGUACGGUCACGGCCCGCUUGAUAUUUACAACAGCAAGCAUGUUGUUGUGUGGGGAAGAAAUGUAUCAAGAACAAAUAUGCACUUAUACCAUCACUUGCAGCAGGUGAAAAAGAAGGGCGCCACGAUUACGGUGAUUGAUCCGAUCUUCAACCCGACUGCUAAGCUUGCCGAUCGCUAUAUCUCUGUAAAGCCUGGAAUGGACGGCUGGCUUGCGGCAGCCGUUUUGAAGGUUCUGAUUGAGACGGGAAGAACGGAUGAAACGUUUAUUUCUGAGCAUUCUGUCGGUUUUGAUGAUGUGAAAGAGCUUUUGAAGACCGUUUCUCUGGAAGAGUUAAUUUUGAAAACAGAAACUUCUAUGGAGGAGCUGGAGUAUUUGGCCGGUUUGUAUGCUGAUGGUCCGGUGUCUACUUUUAUGGGGCUUGGCAUGCAGCGAUAUAAAAACGGCGGGGGAACGAUUCGUUGGAUUGAUGCACUUGUUGCGGCAAGCGGAAAUGUCGGAAUUAAGGGCGGCGGCGCGAAUUUCGGAAAUGUCCAGAUUGGCGAGAGCUUUGCAAAAACAAAGCUGACGUUGCCGGAAUUAAAAACAACAUCACGUUCUUUUUCAAUGAUGACGCAGGCUGAAGAAGUGUUGACCGCUGCUGAUCCUGCGAUUGAGAUGAUUAUUGUGACGUGCGGAAAUCCGCUGACUCAGGUGCCGAAUACAAAUAAGGUGAGACAAGCAUUUGAAAAGGUUCCAAUGACGGUCGCGAUUGAUUCCAUUAUGACGGAUACCGCAGAGCUGUGUGAUUAUGUUUUGCCGACUGCCACUGUUUUUGAAGAAGAAGAUAUCUACUAUUCCAGUAUGUAUCAUCAUUAUGUUCAGUACGGGAAGAAGCUUGUGGAGCCGCAGGGUGAAGCGAAAUCGGACAGCUGGAUCUGGUCAGAGCUUGCAAAACGUCUUGGGUUUGGCGAGCUGUUUGAAUACAGCACUCAAGAAUUUUUAGAGAUGGGGCUUUCUUCAUUGGAAGCAGAGGAUGUGACACUUGAGCGUUUAAAAGAAAAAGGCCACCUCCCUCUUCCAGUAAAACAGGUGCCGUGGGAUGAUUAUCAGUUUUUGACGCCGAGUGGAAAAUUUGAAUUUACUUCGUCGCUUGCUGAGCAAAAAGGAUUUAGCGGCUCGCUUCAAUUAAAUAUGCCCGAAGAAUCUGUUUUCCAUAAUGAGGAGUUAGCUGGAAAGUACCCUUAUACGCUCUUAUCCAUUCAUCCGCAGCGUUCCAAUCAUUCACAGCAUGUGCCGUUUAUUGAAAAGCUUCAGCACGUUCAGGUCGAUAUUUCUCCAGAUAUAGCGGCUGAGCAGGAUCUUCAGGAUGGAGACGAGGUUGUCAUCUUUAAUGACCGCGGACGCUUGAAGGGCAAGGUGAAAGUGAUGAAACAGGCUCAUGCGAAGACGAUUAAUAUAGAUGAAGGCAUGUGGGCGGCUUUUGGAGGGUCAGUCAAUGCACUGACAAAUGAUACAAAUUCUGAUAAUGGAAUGGGAAGUACGCUUUUUGACUGUUUAGUAGGCUUGAAAAAAGCAUAAUCAAAGGGAUUGGCAGGCUGAAAAUGCUUUUUUGUCAGCUUGUCUUUUCC
rnacentral:rRNA from 1 species